UGGGGAAUUUUGCGCAAUGGGGGAAACCCUGACGCAGCAACGCCGCGUGGGUGAUGUCAGUGCAUUCGGGUCGUAAAGCCCUGUCGGGAGGGAAGAAAUGAUUGUGAGCUAAUACCUCGUGAUCUUGACGGUACCUCCGAAGGAAGCACCGGCUAACUCCGUG
rnacentral:rRNA from 1 species